AAGGUUGGCUAAUCCUGGUCGGACAUCAGGAGGUUAGUGCAAUGGCAUAAGCCAGCUUGACUGCGAGCGUGACGGCGCGAGCAGGUGCGAAAGCAGGUCAUAGUGAUCCGGUGGUUCUGAAUGGAAGGGCCAUCGCUCAACGGAUAAAAGGUACUCCGGGGAUAACAGGCUGAUACCGCCCAAGAGUUCAUAUCGACGGCGGUGUUUGGCACCUCGAUGUCGGCUCAUCACAUCCUGGGGCUGAAGUAGGUCCCAAGGGUAUGGCUGUUCGCCAUUUAAAGUGGUACGCGAGCUGGGUUUAGAACGUCGUGAGACAGUUCGGUCCCUAUCUGCCGUGGGCGCUGGAGAACUGAGGGGGGCUGCUCCUAGUACGAGAGGACCGGAGUGGACGCAUCACUGGUGUUCGGGUUGUCAUGCCAAUGGCACUGCCCGGUAGCUAAAUGCGGAAGAGAUAAGUGCUGAAAGCAUCUAAGCACGAAACUUGCCCCGAGAUGAGUUCUCCCUGAGACUUUAGGUCUCCUGAAGGAACGUUGAAGACGACGACGUUGAUAGGCCGGGUGUGUAAGCGCAGCGAUGCGUUGAGCUAACCGGUACUAAUGAACCGUGAGGCUUAACCUUACA
rnacentral:rRNA from 1 species